GGGGUUGUAGUUCAUCUGGUCCAGAAUGCUUGCCUGUCACGCAAGAGGUAGCCGGUUCGAGUCCGGUCAAUCCCGCCA
rnacentral:tRNA from 1 species